CCUAUGGGGGGCAGCAGGCGCGCAAACUUUACAAUGCGAGCAAUCGUGAUAAGGAAACCCUGAGUGCCUGUCGAUGCAGGCUGUUCAUAUAUCUAAAUCAUAUGUGAAGAAAGGGCAGGGCAAGACCGGUGCCAGCCGCCGCGGUAAUACCGGCUGCUCGAGUGAUGGCCACUAUUACUGGGUUUAAAGCGUCCGUAGCUUGACUGUUAGGUCUCUUGGGAAAUCUUCACGCUCAACGUGAAGGCGUCUAAGAGAUACCGGCAGGGGAGCAAACGGGAUUAGAUACCCACGUAGUCC
rnacentral:rRNA from 1 species